rnacentral:rRNA from 1 species
UACGUAGGGCCGAGCGUUGUCCGGAGUUAUUGGGCGUAAGCGCGCGCAGGCGGCUUGACGCGCCCGACGUGAAACGCCCCGGCUUAACCCGGGGAGGUCGGUCGGGUACGGUCAGGCUUGAGGGCGGGAGAGGGUGGUGGAAUUCCCGGUGUAGUGGUGAAAUGCGUAGAGAGUCGGGAGGAACACCUGUGGCGAAGGCGGCCACCUGGGCCGACCCUGACGCUGAGGCGCGAAGGCGUGGGGAGCGA